GAUGAACGCUGGCGGCGUGCCUAAUACAUGCAAGUCGAGCGAACAGACGAGGAGCUUGCUCCUCUGACGCUAGCGGCGGUUGGGUGAUUAACACGUACAUAACUCAUCUUGAAGGCUAGGAUAACUUCGCGAAACCUGAUCCAACACCAGAUAAGAUAUUGAACCGCGUGGUUCAAUAGUGAAAAAACGCUUUGCUGUCACUUAUUGAAAGAUCCGCGCCGCAUUAGUUAAUUGGUAAGGUAACGGCUUACCAAGGCGACGAUGCGUAUCAGGCCUGAGAGGAUGAUCGUCCACACUGGAACUGAGACACGGUCCAGACUCCUACGGGAGGCAGCAGUAGGGAAUCGUGCGCAAUGGGCGAAAGCCUGACGCAGCAACGCCGCGUGAGUGAUGAAGGUCUUCGGAUCGUAAAACACUGUUAGUUGGGAAGAAGAAAGGUUUAAGAAAAUAUGCACGUCUUGACGGUACCUACUCAAAAAGCCCCGGCUAACUACGUG
rnacentral:rRNA from 1 species